AAAAAAAAAAAAAAAAAAGGGGUAAUUGACACAAGUAUAUGGUAUAUAAAUGGUCUUAUUAUUAUUGAGUUUCUAGAUUUAUGCUUCACUUUGGAAGGGCAAAACAGGCAUCUUCUUUCCAUUAAAAUCUUAAAAGGCUCUUUUUCAGCAAAAACAAGAAUCUGUUCAUGUAGCAGGCUUUUGAGAAAUUCUAACCAGUCCAUUACGUAUGUACAAGUUUACAGCCCAUGAAACCUUGUGUCGUCUGCAAGAAAUAGUGUUCCUGUUAUUCUCAACACUUUGGUAUUUUUUUUAUGGCGAAUAUGGUAAUAAGAAUCUAUGGUUCUAUGUUAGUGCAGGAUUACAUAGACAGCAUGGAAGGAGCAACUUUAUCUGGCAGACAGGCUUCAGCAUAUAUAUGUGAUGCUGGUGAAGA
rnacentral:misc_RNA from 1 species